AUGGACACGGAUGCAGAAGGACGUCAUCUAAUGCUAGCCACAUACAUUUUAAACUCUUUUUCAACAAACCGAAUGAAAUUCAUGCAAACACGGCCGGAUUUUAUACAAACAUGGCGGAUUCCAUACAAAUGGUGGAUUUUCAUUACAUUUGAAACAUCUAGAACGAAAAAAAGACCCGACUCGAAACCUAUCUUAUGGCGGUGGCGCCCGGCGUCCAAGCCCGUGCCGUCCUUCAUCCGCCGUCUUUAUGAGCACGGCAAUAAGACCGAUGAGGUGAAGCUGCAAUCUCCGGCAAGGAAGAGUAGAAGAGGGAGACGGACCGGCCACAUGGGACAUCAGGACCUGCCGCCUCCCGUGGCCUACUCAUCCUUGAAUGAGUUUGCGACUUUUCUAUCUCCGGUGGUCGUGAGGUCUACGAUGAAAAUGAUGGCGUUGGCGCUGGCGUCGUCCCACCAGGCCACCUGA
rnacentral:rRNA from 1 species